UACAGAGGUCUCAAGCGUUGUUCGGAUUCAUUGGGCGUAAAGGGUGCGUAGGCGGCGCGGUAAGUCGGGUGUGAAAUCUCGGAGCUUAACUCCGAAACUGCAUUCGAUACUGCCGUGCUUGAGGACUGGAGAUGAGACUGGAAUUUACGGUGUAGCGGUGAAAUGCGUAGAUAUCGUAAGGAAGACCAGUGGCGAAGGCGGGUCUCUGGACAGUUCCUGACGCUGAGGCACGAAAGUCAGGGGAGCAAACGGG
rnacentral:rRNA from 1 species